UACAGGGGGUGCAAACGUUGCUCGGAAUCAUUGGGCGUAAAGCGCACGUAGGCGGUUCGUUAUGUCGGAUGUGAAAGCCCUUGGCUUAACCGAGGAAGUGCAUCCGAAACUGGCGAGCUAGAGUACUAAAGAGGAUCGCGGAAUUCUCGGUGUAGAGGUGAAAUUCGUAGAUAUCGGGAGGAACACCAGUGGCGAAGGCGGCGAUCUGGGAAGAUACUGACGCUGAGGUGCGAAAGCGUGGGGAGCAAACAGG
rnacentral:rRNA from 1 species